UACGUAGGGUGCAAGCGUUGUCCGGAUUUAUUGGGCGUAAAGAGCGUGUAGGCGGCCAGACAGGUCAGCUGUGAAAACUCGAGGCUCAACCUCGAGACGUCGGUUGAAACCGUUUGGCUAGAGUCCGGAAGAGGAGAGUGGAAUUCCCGGUGUAGCGGUGAAAUGCGCAGAUAUCGGGAAGAACACCCGUGGCGAAGGCGGCUCUCUGGGACGGUACUGACGCUGAGACGCGAAAGCGUGGGGAGCGAACAGG
rnacentral:rRNA from 1 species